GACGAACGCUGGCGGCGUUCUUAACACAUGCAAGUCGAACGGUAAGGCCCCAGCUUGCUGGGGUACACGAGUGGCGAACGGGUGAGUAACACGUGGGUGACCUGCCCCGCACUUCGGGAUAAGCCUGGGAAACUGGGUCUAAUACCGGAUAGGACCGCACCGUGAGGGUGUGGUGGAAAGUUUUUCGGUGUGGGAUGGGCCCGCGGCCUAUCAGCUUGUUGGUGGGGUAAUGGCCUACCAAGGCGGCGACGGGUAGCCGGCCUGAGAGGGUGGACGGCCACAUUGGGACUGAGACACGGCCCAGACUCCUACGGGAGGCAGCAGUGGGGAAUAUUGCACAAUGGGCGGAAGCCUGAUGCAGCGACGCCGCGUGGGGGAUGACGGCCUUCGGGUUGUAAACUCCUUUCACCAUCGACGAAGGUUUUCUGACGGUAGAUGGAGAAGAAGCACCGGCUAACUACGUG
rnacentral:rRNA from 1 species